CUCAUAAUUAGUUUGGCACCAUAAGAAACACAUAGACACAAUUCAUCUUUCUGCCAGAAUUGACAGAUGCUAUGUUGACGAGCACAGGAAUUAUCCACUCAGGUGAUCAGCCAUUAGCUGAAGUAUGUGGUAUCUCAGGGAAUGGAGUCUUCUAACUUUUCGAGAGUCAAUAGUCUGGCAGUUACAUAAAUGUUUUUCUUCACUCUUUAACAGCACUGCUUCUUUAUCUGAAAUUAUGGAGGAGCUAGAGACCAAUACACUAUGUACUUUGCCUCUGAAGGCAUGUCUGAAGAUUCCAUUGCAGGAGCCAUGGCUUGUUUGAAGUGUCAACUAGUUCCACUUGAGCAGACAAGAUCUCCUUCAUAACCUCUUGCUACUGGGAGAGGAUCCUCCACAGUCCUGCAGCAAGAGAGAGAAGAAUCAUUGCCUCAGUUGUGAUCAUGUGAUGUUUGGUGUC
rnacentral:lncRNA from 1 species